ensembl:lncRNA
GCCACGGCCAGCCUCAUGGUCAACAGGCCACGUGAUUCAAAGGCCAGGGCAUUUUCCACUCCUACUCAGCUACUUCCUGUUGAGGAAAAUGCUUUUCUGAAUGGAGGAAGACAGUCACAGAGAAAUGUGUUGCCGGCAUCAAUUUCCUCUGAUUGGGCAAUGGUGUCCGCCAUCUGGACCAGGUGACGUCAGCCGUCUGGAUUUCAGCCAGUGUUCUCCCACCCAGGAAACUGACUUCCGGCCAGACUCCUAGCCGGCCAGCUCUGGCCUCCUGGAAGAGCAGACCUCUCUGUUUGCAAAGCCUGGUUGAUAAAUGAUGUUGUUUUAGCUAUUCCAUCAGCCAAAGUUCAUCUCAUUUACUGUUCACAAUGACCCUAUGAGCCAGGUUUCAACAGUAGGUGAACCGUGACCUUCUAGAUGUUCAAGCUGGAUUUAGAAAAGGCAGAGGAACCAGAGAUCAAAUUGCCAACAUCCAUUGGAUCAUCGAAAAAGCAAGAGAAUUCCAGAAAAAUUUCUGCUUUAUUGACUAUGUCAAAGCCUUUGACUGUGUGGAUCACAGCAAACUGUGGAAAAUUCUUCAGGAGAUGGGAAUACCAGACCACCUGACCUGCCUCCUGAGAAAUCUGUAUGCAGGUCAAGAAGCAACAGCUAGAACUGGACAUGGAACAACAGACUGGUUCCAAAUCAGGAAAGGAGUACGUCAAGGCUGUAUAUUGUCACCCUGCUUAUUUAACUUAUAUGCAGAGUACAUCAUGCAAAAUGCUGGGCUGGAUGAAGCACAAGCUGGAAUCAAGAUUGCCAGGAGAAAUAUCAAUAACCUCA